UGGGGAAUAUUGCACAAUGGGCGCAAGCCUGAUGCAGCCAUGCCGCGUGUAUGAAGAAGGCCUUCGGGUUGUAAAGUACUUUCAGCGGGGAGGAAGGUGUUGAGGUUAAUAACCUCAGCAAUUGACGUUACCCGCAGAAGAAGCACCGGCUAACUCCGUGCCAGCAGCCGCGGUAAUACGGAGGGUGCAAGCGUUAAUCGGAAUUACUGGGCGUAAAGCGCACGCAGGCGGUCUGUCAAGUCGGAUGUGAAAUCCCCGGGCUCAACCUGGGAACUGCAUUCGAAACUGGCAGGCUAGAGUCUUGUAGAGGGGGGUAGAAUUCCAGGUGUAGCGGUGAAAUGCGUAGAGAUCUGGAGGAAUACCGGUGGCGAAGGCGGCCACCUGGACUAAUACUGACACUGAGGUGCGAAAGCGUGGGGAGCAAACA
rnacentral:rRNA from 1 species